rnacentral:rRNA from 1 species
GGUGAUACUCCCGUCUCUGCUCAAAUUAUUAGUGUGUACGAUACGCUUUCUUUGAGUCGAGUUGCUUGGGAAUGCAGCUCAAAGUAGGUGGUAAAUUCCAUCUAAAGCUAAAUAUAGGUGCGAGACCGAUAGCGAACAAGUACCGUGAGGGAAAGAUGAAAAGAACUUUGAAAAGAGAGUUAAAGAGUACCUGAAACUGUUGAAAGGGAAUCGUAUCGUUUCCAGUGUCUUAGCUUUUACAUAUUUCAUUAAGGAAUUUAUUUUUUAAUGCCCUGUGUAUUAGUGUGACGUCAAAGUCAGUUUAUAUAUUACGGGAGAUGAUUAUUAAGGAGGUAGUUUAUAUUUUUAAUAUAAAUGUUAUACCUUAAUAAUUAGUAGUCGUGAUUAAGACUGAGGUGCCUAUAACAUGCCUUGUAGAUCUAUUAUAAGCUUAUCUGAAUAAAUUUAAAGAUAGCUUGCUAUGUUUAAUUAUUAUUUGGGUGAUUGUUUAUAAUAGUAAUCUUUUGCUGUUCGGGACUUUGGCGAAAUGGAGCGUUACGUCCCGUCUUGAAACACGGACCAAGGAGUCUAACAUGUGUGCAAGUGUUAGGGUGUGGAAACCCAAACGCGUAAUGAAAGUAAAUGAUAACAUUGGUUAUCUUUGGUAGGAAAGCAAACACUUUGUGAAUGCUGGCACUAUCGACCGAUCAUGAACCUACGUGGUGAAAGAUUUGAGUAUGAGCAUAUAUGUUGGUACCCGAAAGAUGGUGAACUAUGCCUGAAUAGGGUGAAGCCAGAGGAAACUUUGGUGGAAGCUCGUAGCGAUUCUGACGUGCAAAUCGAUCGUCAAAUUUGGGUAUAGGGGCGAAAGAC